AGAGUAGGAAGACCGAUAGCGAACAAGUAGCGUGAGCGAAAGUUUGAAAAGCACUUUGGAAAGAGAGUGACAUAGAACCUGAAGUCGUGACAAUGACAAUGAAAGUGCCUCCAUUUUUGUCAAGGCCAGCCUUGCAGCAUUAUCCGGUGUUCCUCCUUCGGGCGCCAACAUCGGGCAAACAAAUGUUGAAAGAGGACUGGAGCAAAGAGCCGGGGUAAAGGUAGGAGUACUGCCUAGCUGUGUACCCGUCCUUCCCGGUAGACUCAGCGACUUGACGUCUGGAAAUGGGGUACCUUCACCCGUCUUGAAACACGGACCAAGGAGUCAAACAGACACGCAAGAGGGAGGAUAUUGUUGCCAGUACUUCUCUCGAACUGAAAGGGGUGCUUUUUGCAUUGGUGUGCACACAAAAACCGCCCAACACCGACCGCCCUUCUUUUAGGGUGAGUUUGAGUGUGCCUGUUUGGACCCGAAAGGUGGUGAACUAUGCCUGAACAAGGUGAAGUCCGGGGAAACUCGGAUGGAGGCCUGUAGCGGUGCUGAGGUGCAAAUCGCUCGCAUGAUUUGGGUAUCGGAGCGAAAGACUCAUCGAACACCUAGUAGCUGGUUCACAUCGAAGUUUCCCUCAGGAUAGCUGGUGCUGUGAAGUGUUAGUAUUGUGCGGUAAAGCAAAUGAUUAGAGGCAUUGGUGUUCUUAGAAUAUCGACCUAUUCUCAAACUUUAAAUGUGCAAACAAACAGGGCUUAACCUAAUCGGAAGCCUUGAAGAGAAGAAUUGAGGCACCAAGUGGGCCUUCUUCGGUAAGCGGAGCAGGCGAUGCGGAAUGAACCGCUUAGGGAUAUGUGGUGUCAAAACUUUUGGGCUCAUUCUCGAUACGUGAAAAGGGUGUUGGUGGAUAUGGACAGUUGGACGGUGGCCAUGGAAGUCGGCAUCCGCUAAGGAGUGUGUAACACUCACCAACCGAAUCCACCGGUA
rnacentral:rRNA from 1 species